AACCAUAGAAACCUGCGGAGUACCUGCGGAAGGAUCAUUGCAGAGUUAUCCAACUCCCAAACCCAUGUGAACUUAUCUCUUUGUUGCCUCGGCGCAAGCUACCCGGGACCCCGCGCCCCGGGCGGCCCGCCGGCGGACAAACCAAAACUCUUGUUAUCUUAGUUGAUUCUCUGAGCGUCUUAUUUAAUAAGUCAAAACUUUCAGCAACGGAUCU
rnacentral:misc_RNA from 1 species